rnacentral:lncRNA from 1 species
ACCCUACUUACAUCUAUACUACAAUUGUCAAAAAGAGGGUUUAAUUUGUGUGUCAAGUAAUUCUCACACCACAUCUCAAAACAAAUCACUCACCACACAUUUAAACGUCCAAGGGUAAAUUAGUCUUUUCACAUCAACGAUAAUUAUUUCUCGGGACGAGCUGUGACUAAUCCAAUUCGGAAAGAUCCGUUUAUCGGAUUCCGAUUCGUCAGUUCCAGCUAUCCUCAAAUAUUAUGUUUUAUAACGCAUUAAAGUUUCGUGACAAUCCAACUGUCGGAUCGUCGAUUCAAUUUUGAUCAAGUGAUGUAUCGUAAUGAAACUAAGUUCAAACAAUCAAACCACGUCUGUCACAGCCCGUUCUGGAAUUUCAUAUUCGUUGAUAUGAAAUGACGGAAUUGCCCUUAACGGUUGCUAAGGUACGUGUGACAUGUCAAUUGUUAAAUGUAUACUCUCCUUAUAUUCUUGGAAAAGUUUAAAUAGAUUAAAAUGGUAUUCAAUUUGUGUGGUUAGGGACUUAAGAAUUGGGAUUGUAAUUGUUUUGGAUGGACCACACACAUGCAGGACAAUCAUCCCAUGCUUUCUCUCUUCCUUCUCAGUUUCUCUCUCUCUCUCUUCCUCUCGAAACCGUAUGGACACAUUCCCAUGAUCAUCCAAGCACGGAUCGAAGGUUUCAAGGGCACCAUUGUACUCGUGAGGACCCUACGAACUCACCCAUACCCAUUUUAGGUAAGAAAUCUCUCGAUUUCACGUUGAAAACUCGAGGUCCGAUUUGAGUAUUGUUCACGAACUUUGUAAUGGUUGGUUUUUAGGACAAUCCAAGCUCAUGGUCAGCUUUAGGAGGUUCUUACGAAGCUCGGGGACGUUCGUUUGGAAGUUUUGGACGUCGGGAUCACAAGGUUCGAAGGUGGCCAGUUUUGGGUGAAAUUUCCCGACGUGAUUUCGAAGGAUUUGGAAGUUUUUAAAGGUAUAGCCUUCUUCCUCUUGUCAUUUGUGAAGUUUUGGUGAAAAUUUCAUGGAAAAUGGUUGAGAAUUGAGCGAGAAAAUGGCGAUUACAAGUCUGCCUAGUUUCCGGUGCCGGCGAGUUUUUCCGACGACUGCAGGUAGGGGAUGACGCGUGUGGACCCGUGCUUAUCUUGGCGUGUGGGGGUGUGUGACAAGUCCAAAAAUUAUUCUAAAAAUUCCUCGAUGUUCGUGACGGCGAGUAGGUCACUGUGGUAUAUUCAUAUACCCAAAUUGAGCAUCGUAUGAGAAGUUAUUACGUAUUGUUGGUUGUAUGCUUUAAAUAAUGUUUUUAUAGUUGUUUCACAUAUAGGUGAUACCUAUUCCGAGAACGAGCGCAUUCAAGGACGUCACGGGGGUUACGACCCUUCGACUUACCAGUGAGUGGGCAGUAUUUUCUGUAUUUACCUAUAUACUAUUGGUUUUUCCCAGAAAUUGAAUUUAAAUGAAAUGUGUUUUAAAAUGCCAUGCAUACAUUAUAUGAAUUGAUAAUUGUUGCGUAUAUAUGUUAAAUGGUGUUGUGGACGCACAUGUGAGUAUCAGGUGAGUUUUAUGUUAAUCAUGUGAAUUAUUGUGAUGUGAAUUGUGUUGAGAGCUCAUAACCUGCACCUUUGGUAUUAGUGCUUAUAUUAUUCACCCCGCACUACACGCUCACCUUGGACCCAAGUAGGUGCAUGUCGUACAGACCAUUAGAGGGUUCAGACAUGUCGUACAAACCAUGAGAGGUGGUUCCGACUUGUAAGUGAUUUUAGAUUAUUAUACAAAUGUUGAUGAGAGAAUCACUAGAGCGUAUUCUUACACCUUUCUUAUCGUACAAGCUACUUCAGGUAGUUUCGAUUUAUGUGCAGAGUAGUGCCGUACAGGUCAUUGUGGUGACUCUGGUUGGUUGGAUAUUGAGCUAUUAAAUUAACCGUACAAGACCAACUGCAGGGUCUCCGGUUGAUUCAUUAUUUCACUUGUUAUAUUGAUGCAUCCUUAUCUUGUUAUUGACGCUUAUACAGUGGCAUACUUUCUAGUUUUUGAUAAAGAUUGGUGAUUUGAGAUAUUUGAAGAAUUAUAAGCAUAUUAUGUUAUUUUCUGGGAAAGUAUACAGGUUUUACAACGAGGGGUUAGAAAUGUUAUUAUUUGAAAUAUUUUCGAAAAGCUUUGUUUUACUAACCCACUCAAUUUUGUUUUGCGCCCCUCCAGGUUCUAGUUAGUGGUGUCGGUGGCCCACGAGGAUUUCUACGGCGUACUGACAGACUACAUAAAUGUAGGACUCACCUGCGGGUGUUGUAAUUUUAGUUAUAGUCCUACUUGACUGCACCUAGUUUUAUGCUCUGGAUAUGUGUGUUUCACACUUAAACUCACUCUAACAUGUUAGUUGGUUAUUAUUGGUACUGGUCAGUUUUAUUUCCUUCGUAUUUCUCUUAUCUAUUGCCUCCGCGUCGCACUUUUGGUUAUGUCACGCCCAAGUGACGGCCAGCACACUUUGAUUCUAGGAUCGGGGUGUGUCAACGUCGUACGGAUAUCAAUUAUGAAAUCAGAACAUCUAAUUGAACUUAGAAAGACAUCUUCAGCCCACUGGCCAUGCGCUGCCCACAUGCCGCCGUAGGUGGUGGUUGGCCGCUUCGACUUGUCGGAAAAUUCAACUAUUUCUAAAAAUUACCAAAUUUCCUAGAAAUGUAGUACAAGUCAACGGGAGAAACUUUCAUACUUGGGCCAAAGCCUAGUUCGGCCAAGAAACACCUCAAAACAAUCUCGAUCCGCCGGAAACCCUUGAAAUGGCUGGUUUCGAUCUGUCACCUUCGGUGCUCCUCCGUCCCUAUAACUGUUUAGACUUUGUUCCAUGCUUCAAGGGGAGUCUAAUGGUGUAGUAAUUUGAUGAAAUCAUUUCAAAAUUGGUGGAUAUCGGGCAAAAACUGCUGCAAUCACCGGUGCGGUUUUCCCCAAAUUCAAAUGCCAAAUCUCUUGAUUUUUAGGGUGUAAUAGGAAGAAGGAAGGUCGUUGAGGGUUUUCUAGGUGUUUAAUCAGUGUAAUUCGCCAGAACUUGGCCGAAAAAGGAGUAAGAGACCCUUGUUUCCGUCGGGUCGGGUCCGGGGAGGUACACAUGUUUCCCUAUUUUUUUUCUUCUCUCCUCUCCCUCCUUUCUUCCUCCCCCGAUUGGUCUGAGUUUCUCCCUUUUCUCUCCUUCCCUUUCUAUCACAACCACACACAUGGCACUCCCAUUGCUCCAUAUUUUAUGGAGCCUUCCAACUUAAUGUCAAAAUGACUAUUUUGCCCUCAACUUCUAUCAUUAAUAACUUCUUCAUUAUAACUCUGUUCCAUGAACGGUUUCGGCCUACACAUUCAUGAGACUAAGCUCUAUUCAAAAAUAUAAAUUUUGACCUUGAAAGGUCUAUGAAUUUUAGAUAAUUAAUUUCCAAACUUCAAACUUCGUAACUAGUUCAAUUUAAAACUAAACUCAAAUAAAUUAAUAUAACUUCUCCAAAAAAUAAUAUAAAAUCUCAAUAAUACAAUACGUAAAUUAUAAUAAUUUCCGGAAACAAAACUUUAAAAGUUCUCAAUUCAAUUUUUCAUAACCAUAAAUCCAUUUAUUUUCAAUUUUCUCCACAUAUUCAUAAUUAUGAAUAUUUAAUUCAUAUAUUUAAAAUUUUAGGGUACUACAAUCCAAAGUUGAAAUUCAUUACAAACUUGAAUUAAAAGAGAUUGAAUUCAAAGGUGUGUGAAUUAUAACCCAGUAUUCACCCUAUUUAUAGCCCAAAAAAUUUCAAAUCCAACGGCUCGCUGACGUCACUUAGCUGCUAGAUUUGAAUUUAAGUUGUAGUUUAUAAAUAAUAAAUUAUGUUUGGCCUUCGGUUGGACAAGGCUAUGUUAGGCCCUAUGGCUCCUUGGCCCUCGGUUGAAGAUGGUAAGAAAUAUGGU